rnacentral:rRNA from 1 species
AACGAACGUUAGCGGCGCGCCUAACACAUGCAAGUCGAGCGAGAAAGGGCUUCGGCCCCGGUAAAGCGGCGCACGGGUGAGUAACACGUAGGUAAUCUGCCCCUGGGUGGUGGAUAACGUUCCGAAAGGAGCGCUAAUACAGCAUGAGACCACGGUUCCGAAAGGGACAGGGGUCAAAGCCGGCCUCUUCACGAAAGCUGGCGCCUGGGGAUGAGCCUGCGGCCCAUCAGCUAGUUGGUAGGGUAACGGCCUACCAAGGCGAAGACGGGUAGCUGGUCUGAGAGGAUGAUCAGCCACACUGGAACUGAGACACGGUCCAGACUCCUACGGGAGGCAGCAGUGGGGAAUCUUGCGCAAUGGGCGAAAGCCUGACGCAGCGACGCCGCGUGAGUGAUGAAGGCCUCGGGUUGUAAA